AAGGAAAAGUCAAAUUUGAUGGUAUAAGAUUUUCAGGAGCUUGUUGGAGGAGCUCCUGUUCAAGUGCUGCCAUGAAUAUGUUUGCAUAGGGGUAAUUGUGUUGAUUUCUUUCAACAUGUCUAUACAGGCUUGGAUGCCUUGAUCAUUAGGUA